rnacentral:lncRNA from 1 species
AAUUUUUGUGAACAAUAUGUUUAUCCCCAACUGCCCCUUCAGUCAGAAAACAUAAACAUACCAAAUUUAAAGAAUUUCGUUCUCAUAAAAAACAUAAUCGCUACAGUCCUCAACCUAAUAAAUUCUAUGAUAAACCCACACAUAAAUCUACCCCUUCGAAAAAACAUAAUAAAAAAGACAUUACAUGUCAUAAAUGUGGUAAGAAAGGACACUAUAGGAAUGAAUGUUGGUCUAAAUCAAGAAUAAACAAACUACAAAUUUUUGAAGAAAAUAAAAAUCAAAUUUUUGAAAUCUUUAAAUUAACUAACAUAGACAGUUACAUUACUGAUGAAAGCUUAAAUAGCCCUCAUAAUUCACCUAAUUAUUCAUCAUCUGAUAAUGAUAAUGUCAACAUUACAUGUACUAAUAAUUGUUGUAAAUCAGUCAAUGUACUCACCAAGUCUCAAAAAGAAGAUGUAUUAAUAGAAUUAAUUGGAUAAUUAGAAGAUGAUACCUUAAAACAAUAAUACAUUAGUAAAUUAAAAUCUUUAUGGACUAAUCCCAAGUUACAAAAUGAUAAACCUUUUAUAAGCCU